UUCUGCUUUUAAGAGAUCUGCUAGAACUGUUUCCCUCAGAUAAGUCUGUGAUGCAGUAAUGCUAGUAGAGCCAUGUGCAGAAGGAGACUAAAGAGCACUGAACUGAAAAGGAGCUUUGGCCGAACCUCUUUCUUAAUGUUCAAUGGUCCCUGGCUCAAGGCUCGGUGCCACAUGA